rnacentral:rRNA from 1 species
UACAUGGGGUGCAAACGUUGCUCGGAAUUAUUGGGCGUAAAGCGCGCGUAGGCGGUCUGUUAAGUCGGAUGUGAAAGCCCUCGGCUUAACUGAGGAAGUGCACCUGAAACUGGCAGGCUUGAGUACGAAAGAGGGUCGCGGAAUUCCCGGUGUAGAGGUGAAAUUCGUAGAUAUCGGGAGGAACACCGGUGGCGAAGGCGGCGACCUGGGUAGAUACUGACACUGAGGUGCGAAAGCGUGGGGAGCAAACAGG